rnacentral:rRNA from 1 species
UUGAACGCUGGCGGCAUGCCUUACACAUGCAAGUCGAACGGUAGAGGGGCAACCCUUGAGAGUGGCGAACGGGUGAGUAAUGCAUCGGAACGUGCCCAGUCGUGGGGGAUAACGCAGCGAAAGCUGUGCUAAUACCGCAUGUGAUCUGUGGAUGAAAGCAGGGGACCGCAAGGCCUUGUGCGAUUGAAGCGGCCGAUGUCAGAUUAGCUAGUUGGUAGGGUAAAAGCCUACCAAG